AACCAUUCUCACCUGCGGCUAGACCUGCGGAAGGAUCAUUAAACAACUAGGCCGUAACAAGCCUUGAACCCUUCUCUACGCGCACCUUUACCUUCUCCUUCGGCGGGUCAGCGCCCGCCGUCGGAACCAACAAACCCCCUUUUGCAUCUAGCAUACCACCCGUUCCGAUACAAAACACAAUCGUUACAACUUUUAACAACGGAUCU
rnacentral:misc_RNA from 1 species